CGCAUCUGUGCAUGCAGCAUAUCAAUAAGCGGAGGAAAAGAAACUAACAAGGAUUCCCCUAGUAACGGCGAGUGAAGCGGGAAGAGCUCAAAUUUGAAAUCUUAAAGGGUUUCCCUUUACGAAUUGUAGUUUAAAGAAGUGUUUUCUGUUGAGGUUUUGGUAAAAGUUCUUUGGAAUAGGACAUCAUAGAGGGUGAGAAUCCCGUAUUUGGACCUUUACUUUCAACUUUGUGAUACACUUUCAAAGAGUCGGAUUGUUUGGGAAUGCAGUCCAAAAUGGGUGGUAAAUUUCAUCUAAAGCUAAAUAUUGGCGAGAGACCGAUAGCGAACAAGUACCGUGAGGGAAAGAUGAAAAGAACUUUGAAAAGAGAGUUAAACAGUACGUGAAAUUGUCAAAAGGGAAGCGUUUGACACCAGUGUUGUUUUUCUGAAAAUCAAUUAAAGAACUGUUUAUGCUAAGCUGUUUAGACUUUAUCAGCUAUACUGUUUAGUUUUGAGCUUCUCUUUAAUGCACUUUUCAGUUAACAAGUCAACAUCAAUUUCUUUUGCUGUAAAAAAGCUUGAGGAAGGUGGCUUGAGAUUCGUCUUAAGUGUUUAUAGCCUCUUGCCUAUGCAGUCGGAGAGAUUGAGGUCUGCAGCGUAGGAUCCUUCGGGGCUAAAUGCAUUUGUGCUAAGUUAUAGCAUUUUAUAGACAACUUGUUGACUAUGAUUUGUCUUGUAGCUUACUCGCUUAUGUUAUUUUACCUACGCUUAGGAUGUUGAGUCGUAGAGCACGCAG
rnacentral:rRNA from 1 species